rnacentral:rRNA from 1 species
AUUGAACGCUGGCGGAAUGCUUUACACAUGCAAGUCGAACGGCAGCACGGACUUCGGUCUGGUGGCGAGUGGCGAACGGGUGAGUAAUGUAUCGGAACGUGCCCAGUCGUGGGGGAUAACGUAGUGAAAAUUACGCUAAUACCGCAUACGAUCUAUGGAUGAAAGCGGGGGAUCGCAAGACCUCGCGCGUUUGGAGCGGCCGAUAUCAGAUUAGGUAGUUGGUGGGGUAAAGGCCCACCAAGCCAACGAUCUGUAGCUGGUCUGAGAGGACGACCAGCCACACUGGAACUGAGACACGGUCCGGACUCCUACGGGAGGCAGCAGUGGGGAAUUUUGGACAAUGGGCGAAAGCCUGAUCCAGCCAUUCCGCGUGCAGGAUGAAGGCCCUCGGGUUGUAAACUGCUUUUGUACAGAACGAAAAGGUUUCUACUAAUACUAGGAGCUCAUGACGGUACUGUAAGAAUAAGCACCGGCUAACUACGUGCCAGCAGCCGCAGUAA